GGGCGCUUAGCUCAGCCUGGUUAGAGCACCUGCCUUACAAGCAGGGGUCGCUGGUCGAGUCCAGCAGCGCCCAC
rnacentral:tRNA from 1 species